rnacentral:rRNA from 1 species
AAUGAGAGUUUGAUCCUGGCUCAGGACGAACGCUGGCGGCGUGCCUAAUACAUGCAAGUAGAACGCUGAGGUUUGGUGUUUACACUAGACUGAUGAGUUGCGAACGGGUGAGUAACGCGUAGGUAACCUGCCUCAUAGCGGGGGAUAACUAUUGGAAACGAUAGCUAAUACCGCAUAAGAGUAAUUAACACAUGUUAGUUAUUUAAAAGGAGCAAUUGCUUCACUGUGAGAUGGACCUGCGUUGUAUUAGCUAGUUGGUGAGGUAAAGGCUCACCAAGGCGACGAUACAAAGCCGACCUGAGAGGGUGAUCGGCCACACUGGGACUGAGACACGGCCCAGACUCCUACGGGAGGCAGCAGUAGGGAAUCUUCGGCAAUGGACGGAAGUCUGACCGAGCAACGCCGCGUGAGUGAAGAAGGUUUUCGGAUCGUAAAGCUCUGUUGUUAGAGAAGAACGUUGGUAGGAGUGGAAAAUCUACCAAGUGACGGUAACUAACCAGAAAGGGACGGCUAACUACGUGCCAGCAGCCGCGGUAAUACGUAGGUCCCGAGCGUUGUCCGGAUUUAUUGGGCGUAAAGCGAGCGCAGGCGGUUCUUUAAGUCUGAAGUUAAAGGCAGUGGCUUAACCAUUGUACGCUUUGGAAACUGGAGGACUUGAGUGCAGAAGGGGAGAGUGGAAUUCCAUGUGUAGCGGUGAAAUGCGUAGAUAUAUGGAGGAACACCGGUGGCGAAAGCGGCUCUCUGGUCUGUAACUGACGCUGAGGCUCGAAAGCGUGGGGAGCAAACAGGAUUAGAUACCCUGGUAGUCCACGCCGUAAACGAUGAGUGCUAGGUGUUAGGCCCUUUCCGGGGCUUAGUGCCGCAGCUAACGCAUUAAGCACUCCGCCUGGGGAGUACGACCGCAAGGUUGAAACUCAAAGGAAUUGACGGGGGCCCGCACAAGCGGUGGAGCAUGUGGUUUAAUUCGAAGCAACGCGAAGAACCUUACCAGGUCUUGACAUCCUUCUGACCGGCCUAGAGAUAGGCUUUCUCUUCGGAGCAGAAGUGACAGGUGGUGCAUGGUUGUCGUCAGCUCGUGUCGUGAGAUGUUGGGUUAGUCCCGCAACGAGCGCAACCCCUAUUGUUAGUUGCCAUCAUUAAGUUGGGCACUCUAGCGAGACUGCCGGUAAUAAACCGGAGGAAGGUGGGGAUGACGUCAAAUCAUCAUGCCCCUUAUGACCUGGGCUACACACGUGCUACAAUGGUUGGUACAACGAGUCGCAAGCCGGUGACGGCAAGCGAAUCUCUUAAAGCCAAUCUCAGUUCGGAUUGUAGGCUGCAACUCGCCUACAUGAAGUCGGAAUCGCUAGUAAUCGCGGAUCAGCACGCCGCGGUGAAUACGUUCCCGGGCCUUGUACACACCGCCCGUCACACCACGAGAGUUUGUAACACCCGAAGUCGGUGAGGUAACCUUUUAGGAGCCAGCCGCCUAAGGUGGGAUAGAUGAUUGGGGUGAAGUCGUAACAAGGUAGCCGUAUCGGAAGGUGCGGCUGGAUCACCUCCUUU